GAAAUUUCCAGUUGCAGAUUUAAGCUCCUGAAAGGUAAACUGGAACAGCUGGAAAGGAGAUUGGCUUUCUAAUGGCGGUGGUUCAGGAUUAUCUGUUGAGUUUUGAGCUUCAUUGGGAGCACACAUCUCCCGGUUGCUCGCAUUAAGAGUCUUUGGAAGCGGUGGCCUUGCAGGAGCCUCUAACACUGCGCCUGAGAGCUGCCCAGCAGCCGCACUUCUUCUCCAUGGAGCUUCCCCACCACACUGCCUCUCAUGGGCUGCCACUAUAAUUACUUAGAGAUGAGACCCAGAAGAGAUUCACCAUGUUUAUGAGGGGAAGAGGGUGAAAAAAAGAACAAAAACCCCAAGAGAGAGAGAGAGAGAGAGAGA